rnacentral:rRNA from 1 species
UAGGGAAUCUUCGGCAAUGGGGGGAACCCUGACCGAGCAACGCCGCGUGAGUGAAGAAGGUUUUCGGAUCGUAAAGCUCUGUUGUUAAGGAAGAACGAGUGUGAGAAUGGAAAGUUCAUACUGUGACGGUACUUAACCAGAAAGGGACGGCUAACUACGUGCCAGCAGCCGCGGUAAUACGUAGGGGGCUAGCGUUGUCCGGAAUCACUGGGCGUAAAGGGAUCGCAGGCGGAAAUGCAAGUCAGGUGUAAAAGGCAGUAGCUUAACUACUGUAAGCAUUUGAAACUGCAUAUCUUGAGAAGAGUAGAGGUAAGUGGAAUUUUUAGUGUAGCGGUGAAAUGCGUAGAUAUUAAAAAGAAUACCGGUGGCGAAGGCGACUUACUGGGCUCAUUCUGACGCUGAGGAACGAAAGCGUGGGUAGCAAACAGG